CAAGGAACCUACCCAAAAUUGUACGGUAUUUCCUUUCCCAAACAGACUAAGCAGUUUUGCUGUUUUUGUGUGAUUCUGUGUGAGGAGGUCCUCUAGUAUAUUCCACUGGGCGGGUCUGUGGCCCUGAGGUGGAGACGGGUAAAGCCCACUCUUGCUGCUAAGCCUGGUCCUCAGAGAGAUGCCCAGGAUGUGCUCCAAGUCACCACAGAGUAAGAGGAGACUUUCCCACCAUCUUGUAAUUGCAGAUUGCCGGGUAACUGAGCCAUGAAAAACGAUCGUACCCAUGUUCCUCCACUGGCCUCAGAGAAAAAAUCCUGAAAGCAAUUUGUUGUGGUGGAAAAAAGACUGUCUGUGUGCCAGGGAGUUCUGGGGGUGCGGGAGAGGGAGCAUUCUCAUGCUUCCUAAGAAAGUCUGUGCAGAAUCCGUCUGUCUCUGGGAGUGUGGGUGAGGGACACCAUCUCCUUUCCUGGCUUCUGCAACCUGUGGGCUUGGGACCACAGUCUCUUCCAGGUCCUGCAGUCCACCAGGCUUUGUCCUGCAACACCCCCUCGGGGGCUCCCCACCUUGGAGGCAGAAGGCUGCUUUGGAGACACCAAUGUCCUGAGGCCUGCUGCUGCUGAUACUACUAACGCCUUCAUCAUCGGAGCAUUUAUGAGGCCCAGAUGCUACUCUUGGCUCUAACACCAUUGGUUAUGAAAAUCUUGGACAACUCAUUUAAAUCUUGGCAUUUCCUUAUCUGCAUUUUCCACAUUGGUAAGGUAGAGGUGAUGACGCCAGGCCAAAGCUUACCAUCAAAAUAGGAAACAGCUUCUUUUAAAGCGUUACAGAGCUACAAGGUGGAGCAGUCCACCCUUUGAAUACAAGGUCUGGCUGCCCCCUUGUCACUCCCCGACCCUCCAAAUCCUAGGCCAUCACAAGGUUUCUGUGCAAACACUGCCCUCUGAGUAAGCCAACCCCAGCCUGUAGGGGGAGGCUUCUCUGAUUAGGAUCCUUAGCAUCCUGGGGGACUGCACCAACCCUUGUGUCACUGAGGGAGAGGAGGAUCAUUUGAUCAGCCAGAGAAG
rnacentral:lncRNA from 1 species